rnacentral:rRNA from 1 species
ACCAGACUCCUACGGGAGGCAGCAGUGGGGGAUAUUGGACAAUGGGGGAAACCCUGAUCCAGCGACGCCGCGUGAGUGAAGAAGUAUUUCGGUAUGUAAAGCUCUGUCAGCAGGGAAGAAAGAAAUGACGGUACCUGACCAAGAAGCCCCGGCUAACUACGUGCCAGCAGCCGCGGUAAUACGUAGGGGGCAAGCGUUAUCCGGAUUUACUGGGUGUAAAGGGAGCGUAGGCGGCAGUGCAAGUCGGAAGUGAAAGCCCGGGGCUCAACUCCGGGACUGCUUUUGAAACUGUACAGCUUGAUUGCAGGAGAGGCAAGUGGAAUUCCUAGUGUAGCGGUGAAAUGCGUAGAUAUUAGGAGGAACACCAGUGGCGAAGGCGGCUUGCUGGACUGUAAAUGACGCUGAGGCUCGAAAGCGUGGGGAGCAAACAGGAUUAGAUGCCCCAGUACA